CUGUAUCUCUUAGGGACUUCCCGUUUGUUGGUAUUCUUGGCACCAAGUAAAAGAUUAAUUGUAGCCUCAUCCCUGGCUCUUGUCUGAAUCAGCACAGAUGGGUCAUGGUACAUAUUUUGGUCACAUCACAGAGUCACCUUUUUUUCUGACAGUGAGAUUUCAGUGACGCUAGCAUCCAUGGACACUGUGGGUAAAAAGAGAUGGUACCUCAAGGGAGAGAGCUUAGGAGGGACACCAAUGUAUAACCACGAGACAAAGGCCCUAAUGUAGUGGUCUGGCAAAGCAGGCUCAAGAACAUUCUACCUGUGCCCAUGGACCACCUAUCCCAAGGAGGAUGUCACGGCAGCUCCUAGAGGCCGCCUACAGUCCAUGCCCCCUUCCUCCAUCUUCGAAGAGAGCCACAGCAAGUGGAAUCCCUCCCACAUCACUCUGUAAGGACCCAUGUGUUUAAUUGGGCCCACCUGGAUAAUCCAGAAUAAUCUCACCAUCUAUCUCAAGGUCAACUGAUUCGCAAAUUUAACUGCAUCUACAAAUGUAAUUCUCUUUUGCCAUGUUGUAAGGCAAUAUAUUCACAGAUUCUGGGGAUUAGCAAAUGAAUAUUUUGGGGGUGUUUUACUUGGCCUAUCAGGAACCCUUUGCCAGAAAAGAAGGGGACCAGCACUACUGACUUUGUUCCAAAUUUCCACUGUUCUUUAAUGGGCACUGCUUUUCUGGGCAAUGAUUCCUGGGCACAGAUCUUUACUGAAAAUACCGGCUAAGUGUAGGAAGGUAUUCUCUUAAUGUGGGAGGAAAAGUCUUCAACAUUUCAAUGCAACAAAGGACAAAUACAGCACAACUGCAAAGAUAGUGUGAAACACUGAUGUCAUAAGUCUGUCGUCUUUGCCCUCCAGGCAGUGACUGGAGUGGAAGAGCGAUUUGGGAGGUGAAGAUAAACUAUUAUCAGGGGUCGCAUCUGUCGAGGUCCUGUGGAGUCCUACAGUAGAAGUCUCUAGAUGCAAGGCAAGGACAGGAGAAGCAUACAUCAUCCUGGGAGCAGAAUCUAUGCCAGAGGAGGAGUCAGCCAUCAUGAUUCGAGGAAGGAACAGAGGAGACACACAACUGGAUGGGCAUAGAAUUGA